UCUAUUCAAAAAAGUUAGUAUACACAAAGUUCACAAGAAAAUUCUCAGUUAAUAUCGAUGAAAUUUUUCUUUCCGUUUUCAUCAAUCAAAGCAAAAUUUAUUUUGUUAUACCCGACCUGCAUUCGAAAGAAUCAUUUGUGCUGUUCUCAGGAGCGAACGACUCUAUCCGCCAGUUGGUAGAAAUAGUUGUUUAAUGGAACAACUCGAUGGAUACAACCGACAUAACGCAGCCUAGUUUUUUAUACGUCGUUCAAUCGUUUACCUUCGAGAAGAGCCCGAAGCAUCAGAGGCAGUCCUCCAUGGAUCGAGCUUUCCAAGGUCAAGAAGGACUUUUGUAACGAUGUCAUAGAGCAGACCCUCAGAUGGAGCGGGAGCUUCAACGAUUAUGCCUCUGAUAUCGCUUUCGCCGGACCAAUACCUCAGAAGAUGGGCCUCGUUGUUCCCAUCACAUGCUAGAGGCACGGUGGUGAAUCGAUUAUGAAUGGGAGAAGAUCGGCAAUAAUUAUAAGAGUAGGAAAAACUCUAUGGAAAGGGAAAUAUCUGCACGGAACAGAGAAACGCGGCCGCCACCAAAGACCUCCACCCAGAGGCCCUCGAUAUCAACAGAUGACUGUAACUGAACUCAAAGGACGGCGCACAAAUAGGUUUGGUCGUAUGCUCAGGUCUAGCUCGCCGGAUGGUCGGCGUUCUUCCUCACCUAAUUGUACUAUCGUACUCCACUACAUUUAUAUAGUGCACUUUAUGGAAAACUGUAAGUGAUUAUUCAAAACAAAGUACACUGAAAUGCUGAUGGCGCCGACACGAGAAAUGAAAAGCCCUACUAAACUCGUUCUAUUUGGAGAGAAGCUAGAUGUUGAUUGUCCCUCUCUUCUGUACCCACCCUACCAUGACAAUGACUUCGAGUUCCUGCAUUGUCCCUUGAUUCUGGCGCGGAUACGCGACCGACCGUUUUUAUGAUUUCGAAGAUUCAUUUCAAUUCACAAUGAUUCAUUAAUAUAAGCUUAUAUAUGGGGAAAUAUGUGUAUAUGGUUCCGAAUAGCACUAUAUAUGUGUGUGUGAAAUGUGUAUGUUGGCUCGCACUUGGGAAUUAAGGAUCUUUCCGUUUUCCUUACUCUCAUAACUAUUGCGAAUCUCCUCCCGUAAUCGAUUCGCAACUGGAUGGCCUCCAACAUGGUGAUAGGACUAACGCGGUCUUUCUUCUCAGGCAUUUAUCCGGCAAAGGCGAUUUCAAAGUCAUAUUCGUUAAAGCUCUCUCUCCAAAUGAGGGUCUGCGCUACGACAUCUUUACAACGGUUCACUUUGCCGUGGCAUCGAAGAACACUGCAUUCAGAUUCGAUAGAAGCCGAUUCGAAUGGGAAUGUCAAUGCAUUCGAGUCAAAUUUCGUUAAUGACAGCAUCCGCAUGACCGUUUAUUCGGGCACAACGGAUCCGAAGCUAUAGCCAUUCACUACUGAGGGAGCAGCAGCAGCAACUGCCGUGCGGUUUCCGUUUGUCAUGAUGCCUGCCCCAGGAUGACAGCUACGACACCGCACACAGAACCGGAUAGGGAUACAGAGGCGGAUAAGCGAUUUGGCCUUUGUCACGUUGGAGUUGCAGCACGGGCACAGGAGAGAUGACAGGGAUGAAGCAGAUUGCUAAGGAUUGCAAAUCAAAUGUAUUCUCUCUCUGCCUGGAAAUGUGCUAUGAACAUCCUGUUAAAGUGCAUUUACAAUAAGUAAUAGUUCCAUAAAAUCUGUUAUAAAUACAUAUUCAAAUAAAUCCAUACCAAAUCUUUUAAAUAAUAUUAUUUCAUUAGUUAGGCUAACGCUAUUGGCCAUUUCAGGACGAUCCUUUGAUCGAUAUGUAAAUCAGAACAACGGACAGAUCGAAAAAAAGCAAUACCAUCUAAAUGUCAAGCCCUACCUGUAAUUUUUAAACAUUCAUGCAAGCUGGGAUUUUUAUGUCUAUACGAGUAUUCAAAAAAGUUAGUACACACAAAGUUCACAAGAAAAUUCUCAGUUAAUAUCGAUGAAAUUUUUCUUUCCGUUUUCAUCAAUCAAAGCAAAAUUGAUUUUGUUAUACCCGACCUGCAUUCGAAAGAAUCAUUUGUGCUGUUCUCAGGAGCGAACGACUCUAUCCGCCAGUUGGUAGAAAUAGUUGUUUAAUGGAACAACUCGAUGGAUACAACCGACAUAACGCAGCCUAGUUUUUUAUACGUCGUUCAAUCGUUUACCUUCGAGAAGAGCCCGAAGCAUCAGAGGCAGUCCUCCAUGGAUCGAGCUUGCCAAGGUCAAGAAGGACUUUUGUAACGAUGUCAUAGAGCAGACCCUCAGAUGGAGCGGGAGCUUCAACGAUUAUGCCUCUGAUAUCGCUUUCGCCGGACCAAUACCUCAGAAGAUGGGCCUCGUUGUUCCCAUCACAUGCUAGAGGCACGGUGGUGAAUCGAUUAUGAAUGGGAGAAGAUCGGCAAUAAUUAUAAGAGUAGGAAAAACUCUAUGGAAAGGGAAAUAUCUGCACGGAACAGAGAAACGCGGCCGCCACCAAAGACCUCCACCCAGAGGCCCUCGAUAUCAACAGAUGACUGUAACUGAACUCAAAGGACGGCGCACAAAUAGGUUUGGUCGUAUGCUCAGGUCUAGCUCGCCGGAUGGUCGGCGUUCUUCCUCACCUAAUUGUACUAUCGUACUCCACUACAUUUAUAUAGUGCACUUUAUGGAAAACUGUAAGUGAUUAUUCAAAACAAAGUACACUGAAAUGCUGAUGGCGCCGACACGAGAAAUGAAAAGCCCUACUAAACUCGUUCUAUUUGGAGAGAAGCUAGAUGUUGAUUGUCCCUCUCUUCUGUACCCACCCUACCAUGACAAUGACUUCGAGUUCCUGCAUUGUCCCUUGAUUCUGGCGCGGAUACGCGACCGACCGUUUUUAUGAUUUCGAAGAUUCAUUUCAAUUCACAAUGAUUCAUUAAUAUAAGCUUAUAUAUGGGGAAAUAUGUGUAUAUGGUUCCGAAUAGCACUAUAUAUGUGUGUGUGCAAUGUGUAUGUUGGCUCGCACUUGGGAAUUAAGGAUCUUUCCGUUUUCCUUACUCUCAUAACUAUUGCGAAUCUCCUCCCGUAAUCGAUUCGCAACUGGAUGGCCUCCAACAUGGUGAUAGGACUAACGCGGUCUUUCUUCUCAGGCAUUUAUCCGGCAAAGGCGAUUUCAAAGUCAUAUUCGUUAAAGCUCUCUCUCCAAAUGAGGGUCUGCGCUACGACAUCUUUACAACGGUUCACUUUGCCGUGGCAUCGAAGAACACUGCAUUCAGAUUCGAUAGAAGCCGAUUCGAAUGGGAAUGUCAAUGCAUUCGAGUCAAAUUUCGUUAAUGACAGCAUCCGCAUGACCGUUUAUUCGGGCACAACGGAUCCGAAGCUAUAGCCAUUCACUACUGAGGGAGCAGCAGCAGCAACUGCCGUGCGGUUUCCGUUUGUCAUGAUGCCUGCCCCAGGAUGACAGCUACGACACCGCACACAGAACCGGAUAGGGAUACAGAGGCGGAUAAGCGAUUUGGCCUUUGUCACGUUGGAGUUGCAGCACGGGCACAGGAGAGAUGACAGGGAUGAAGCAGAUUGCUAAGGAUUGCAAAUCAAAUGUAUUCUCUCUCUGCCUGGAAAUGUGCUAUGAACAUCCUGUUAAAGUGCAUUUACAAUAAGUAAUAGUUCCAUAAAAUCUGUUAUAAAUACAUAUUCAAAUAAAUCCA